rnacentral:rRNA from 1 species
CCAAUAGCGUAUAUUAAAGUUGUUGCAGUUAAACAGCUCGUAGUUGAAUUUCGGGAUCAAGGAAUCGGUCAUGCCUUGGUAUGUACUGGUUUUAUUGGUUCUCACCUUCUAAAGAACCAUAAUGUCAUUCAUUUGAUGUUAUGGGGAAUUAGGACUGUUACCUUGAAAAAAUUAGAGUGUUUACAGCAGGCUCGCGCUUGAAUACAUUCGCAUGGAAUAAUUAAAUAGGACGUUUGAUUCUAUUUUGUUGGUUUCUAGGAUCGACGUAAUGAUUAAUAGGGAUAGUUGGGGGCAUUAGUAUUCAAUUGUCAGAGGUGAAAUUCUUGGAUUUAUUGAAGACUAACUACGGCGAAAGCAUUUGCCAAGGAUGUUUUCAUUAAUCAAGAACGAAAGUUAGGGGAUCGAAGACGAUCAGAUACCGUCGUAGUCUUAACCAUAAACUAUGCCGACUAGGGAUCGGAUGAUGUUAAUUUUUUAAUGACUCAUUCGGCGCCUUACG